GUUUUGCAGCCUGGGAGGUUUUAAUUUUCCCAGUUUCUUGUCCCACAGUUUCACUUUGGUCCGUUGACGUUUCCCUGUUAUUGACCCCCGGCAGCAAAAGGCUUGGAAUGGCAGAAGAGACUUAAUGAGGCACUUUACAUGUCCCUCAUGAGAAGUGGCUCAGGAACCUCGGAGUGAAAUUGUUUUCCUGUCCUGCAAAAUGUUUCAGAAACUUUCUAUUCCUGAAUUGAGGCUGCUGCUUGGACUGUUUUCCAUCUCCUUCUAUCACACGGAGCUCCAUUAAGAGGCCCUGCUCCAGCUCCUUGGGGGUCUGCAAGAAGGAACAUGGCCUAAACCUGGUCCCUGGAGGGACAGUUGCCACCUCCCAGAGGACACAGCUCACAUUCCAACGUGUCUUGCGACUUGUGACUUGGAACAAAACCUGCAGGAGCUGAGCCAUGAGAGGGCCUGUUCUCCUAUUGAAAAGCAACAGAGAGCAGAGAGCAAUGGGACAGCCUCCAGACAGUGAGAAAUGGUGUGUGAGGCUCUCUCUGUCUCCUGGAGGAAGAAGUCAGGGGGCUGUUUGAGGCCUUUGUCUGUUCACAUCAAAUCAGGAGAGAUGUGGCCUCUGAGGGAGUGAUGUCCACACACCUGGCACGGACAGGAGGUACCUUGAUGGGCAGUCACACAGCAGGUAUUUCUCUGAGCAGAUCCUGCUGUUGGGGCUUCUGUUCCCCAGCACGUUCCUGUUUUAUCUGCUCCUUUGGCAGAGGUGUCAGGCAGCACAAUGAAACUCCUCAGGAAAUGGAGACACAGAAGUUUAAUAAAUGCAAGUUAUCUAAAAGA